UUUGAAAUACUAUUGAGAAACUUAUAAUAUCUAUUUAUGUAUCUGUACUGUACAGACUGAACACGGAAAUGAAACCAAUACAAUAUUUGCCCCACUAGAUGGAAAGACGACAACUAAGUUAUUAUAAAGACAACAAGAAAACACCAUCUACCAGAGCAGGGAAUGGCAUCUGCAGUCAAGACAAAGGUGAUGAACAAGAAGAAUAAAUGGUGACCAAGAGACCCUAAAAGCAGGAGACCUCUAAAUGAAGCAGGAUGCAGAGAAGCGCUGAUGGGGACAUGCACUCACCACCACCGGCCGCUGUUGUUGACCGCCCCUGUGCCAGACAGCGACGACACCAGUAGGAUGCAUGCGGCUUUCACUCCGAGCAGAAGCGCCAAACUCCUCAUGUCGCCCUCGGUCACCUUGCUGGAAAAGAUUUUCAAUGAAUUUGACGAUGAGGUGAAGAGUCCACGCAUGUGAGGAUGCUGCAGUCCUCACAGUGUCCCUUUGAGUGAUGCUCUGCACGGUGCGUGGAACGCGUGGGACAGUCCCGCAGACUUGAUCCCCUCCGUGGUGACACCAGAUAGGCAACACAUUCUUCUCUUAUUGAGUGCUACAAGGGGGAAUAAAAAAGGGAUUUGCUGCUCACAUCUCCCUCUGUCUUUUUUUCUCUCUUCCUCGGAGCCUUUUCAAUAGGAUUGGAGGGAGGGAUAGUUAAUGCUCUUCAUAGGGCGCACAAUGAAUAAGGAAACACAA